UACAGAGGGUGCGAGCGUUGUCCGGAAUCACUGGGCGUAAAGGGCGCGUAGGUGGCCUGGUAAGUAGGGGGUGAAAUCUCGCGGCUCAACUGCGAGGCUGCCUCCUAAACUGUCAGGCUCGAGCAGAGUAGAGGCAGGUGGAAUUCCCGGUGUAGCGGUGGAAUGCGUAGAGAUCGGGAAGAACAUCGGUGGCGAAGGCGGCCUGCUGGGCUGUUGCUGACGCUGAGGCGCGACAGCGUGGGGAGCAAACAGG
rnacentral:rRNA from 1 species